rnacentral:lncRNA from 1 species
GUAGUGAGAGAGAUUUUUAUUUUAAAUUAGAAUUUAAAUUUUUAAAAUUUAAAAUUUGUAAUCUCAAAAUUAGAAUUUAUAAUUUAAACUUCUAAAUUUAAAGUUUAAAUUUUAAAUUUUAAAUUUGAUAUUUGAUAUUUUUAAAUUUAAAUUUGGUUUUAAAUUUAAAAUUAAAAUUUUAAAGUUUAAUUUCAAAUUUUAACAACUAAAUUUUCAUCCAAACACAAAAUUAGUCUAAUUCGAAAUUUAUACCUAAACUUGUAUAUAUUUCUGGUAUAAACUAGUUCUUACUUAUAUCCGAAGCAAACGAAGCCUAAGUGAUCUGUGUAAAUGCUUGUUUUGUUCCAUUUAUAGAAU